GGGAGUAAAAGCGGGUUAUCAUCGCUGUACCCAGUGGUCUGACAGAGCAAACAGAAGAGCUCCGUGAGGUGAGGAGAGGUGAAGAGAAAAUUAGCAAGACUCAAAUGGGAUAAUUGGAAAAGCAGAGGGAAGGCAGUAAAUUAUGCCUCUUUGGCCUGGUUUAGUUAUCAUAUCGCAAGAAUGGAUGAAGUGGGUCAGCGACCCGCAGAUGAAAAGCAAGAUGAGGAAGGGUCUCGGGGUGAAGGGAGGCCUGAGCUCUGAGCGCCCCGCCGAGGGCCAGCCCACACGUGCCGCUGGAGCACCACGCUCGGAAAGACAAACAGGAUGCGGUCCUGGUCAUUCUACCAUCUAGAAAUUUUGCAACCUAGAGAACUACCAAGAAAGAAAUUCAUCUGGAUGUUAUAUCAGCCUUCAUGUGAAUUCUCUACAAAACUGAGAUGAAAUCUUACGUUCACUAAGUGGAAGGUGACAUAAUAAAUGCUGGUCAUGUAGGUUCUUUUCCUCCCUCCAGCUGGAAUGCCCAGGUCUGACCACACAACACUCCAUCAAGGUGUUUGAACUGAAGCGUGCAAAUCGAAUUGGAAAAUUAUUCAUGAGAGAGCAAAGAGAUGGCGACCAAGCAAAGGGACAAAAAUGAAUAACUUUCACUUUGGAGUAGAGGAUAGUAAGACCUGUGUGCCACUUCAGGCUCAACCUCUGUAACCCAACAUAUUUUCAUCUCAAUGCAUUUAACAAAUUAUUCCUCGCAGUACCUUUGGGUGGGCUACUGACUAUGAUUCUGUACCUACAAUUUGUUUUCUCUGCUGCAAAACAGACUUGAAUGCUAAUAAGCGAACCAAUUUUUAAAAAGCCUUAUCCUGGGGCGCCUGGGUGGCUCAGUCGUUAAGUGUCUGCCUUCGGCUUGGGUCAUGAUGAGCCCCGCAUCGGACUCCCCGCUCAGAGGGAAGCC